rnacentral:rRNA from 1 species
UACGGAGAGUGCAAGCGUUAUCCGGAUUCACUGGGUUUAAAGGGUGCGUAGGUGGGCUAGUAAGUCCGUGGUGAAAUCCCUGAGCUUAACUCGGAAACUGCCGUGGAUACUAUUAGUCUUGAAUCUCGUGGAGGUAAGCGGAAUAUGUCAUGUAGCGGUGAAAUGCUUAGAUAUGACAUAGAACACCGAUAGCGAAGGCAGCUUGCUACACGAGUAUUGACACUGAGGCACGAAAGCGUGGGGAUCAAACAGGA